rnacentral:rRNA from 1 species
CUAAGCAUAUCAAUAAGCGGAGGAAAAGAAACUAACAAGGAUUCCCCUAGUAACUGCGAGUGAAGCGGGAUGAGCUCAAAUUUGAAAUCUGGCGGUUCUGCCGUCCGAGUUGUAAUCUGGAGAAGCGUCUUCCGUGCCGGACCGUGUACAAGUCCCUUGGAACAGGGCGUCAUAGAGGGUGAGAAUCCCGUCUUUGACACGGACUCCCGGUGCUCUGCGAUGCGCUCUCGAAGAGUCGAGUUGUUUGGGAAUGCAGCUCAAAAUGGGUGGUAAAUUCCAUCUAAAGCUAAAUAUUGGCGAGAGACCGAUAGCGAACAAGUACCGUGAGGGAAAGAUGAAAAGCACUUUGGAAAGAGAGUAAAACAGUACGUGAAAUUGUUGAAAGGGAAACGCUUGAAGUCAGUCGCGUCUUCUGGGACUCAGCCUUGCUCUGCUCGGUGCACUUCCCAGUUUGACGGGUCAGCAUCGGCUCUGGUGGGCGGACAAAGGCGUGGGGAAGGUGGCAGCCUCGGCUGUGUUAUAGCCCCGCGUUACACGUCCACCGGGACCGAGGAAUCCGGCGCUCGCGCCUGGGAUGCUGGCGUAAUGGCUUUAAACGACCCGUCUUGAAACACGGACCAAGGAGUGCUACAUGCUCGCGAGUGUUUGGGUGGAAAACCCGAGCGCGAAAUGAAAGUGAAAGUCGAGACCCUUUGCGGGGGCACCGACGCCCGAGCCUGAUGUUUUCGGAAGGCCUUGCGGUAGAGCGAGUAUGUUGCGACCCGAAAGAUGGUGAACUAUUCCUGAGGAGGGCGAAGCCAGAGGAAACUCUGGUGGAGGCUCGUAGCGGUUCUGACGUGCAAAUCGAUCGCAGGACU